ensembl:snRNA U6 U6 spliceosomal RNA
GUACUCACUUCACCAGCACAUAUACUAAAACUGGAAGGAUACAGAAAAGACAAGCAUGCCCUCUGUGCCAAGAUGACAGCCAAAUUCCGUGUAGUGCUCCAUAUUUCU